rnacentral:rRNA from 1 species
UACGGGGGGAGCAAGCGUUAUUCGGAUUUACUGGGCGUAAAGGGCGCGUAGGCGGCGCAACAAGUCACUUGUGAAAUCUCCGGGCUUAACCCGGAAAGGUCAGCCGAUACUGCGGGGCUAGAGUGCAGAAGGGGCAACUGGAAUUCUCGGUGUAGCGGUGAAAUGCGUAGAUAUCGAGAGGAACACCUGCGGCGAAGGCGGGUAGCUGGGCCGACACGUGACGCUGAUGCGCGAAAGCCAGGGGAGCGAACGGG